rnacentral:rRNA from 1 species
GAGCAACCUGCCCUGGACUCUGGGAUAAGCGCUGGAAACGGUGUCUAAUACUGGAUAUGAGAUGUGAUCGCAUGGUCAUGUUUGGAAAGAUUUUUCGGUCUGGGAUGGGCUCGCGGCCUAUCAGCUUGUUGGUGAGGUAAUGGCUCACCAAGGCGUCGACGGGUAGCCGGCCUGAGAGGGUGACCGGCCACACUGGGACUGAGACACGGCCCAGACUCCUACGGGAGGCAGCAGUGGGGAAUAUUGCACAAUGGGCGGAAGCCUGAUGCAGCAACGCCGCGUGAGGGAUGACGGCCUUCGGGUUGUAAACCUCUUUUAGCAGGGAAGAAGCGAAAGUGACGGUACCUGCAGAAAAAGCGCCGGCUAACUACGUGCCAGCAGCCGCGGUAAUACGUAGGGCGCAAGCGUUAUCCGGAAUUAUUGGGCGUAAAGAGCUCGUAGGCGGUUUGUCGCGUCUGCUGUGAAAUCCCGAGGCUCAACCUCGGGUCUGCAGUGGGUACGGGCAGACUAGAGUGCGGUAGGGGAGAUUGGAAUUCCUGGU